rnacentral:rRNA from 1 species
GAUGAACGCUAGCUACAGGCUUAGCACAUGCAAGUCGAGGGGAAACGGCAUUGAGUGCUUGCACUCUUUGGACGUCGACCGGCGCACGGGUGAGUAACGCGUAUCCAACCUUCCCAUUACUGUGGGAUAACCUGCCGAAAGGCAGACUAAUACCGCAUAGUCUUCGAUGACGGCAUCAGAUUUGAAGUAAAGAUUUAUCGGUAAUGGAUGGGGAUGCGUCUGAUUAGCUUGUUGGCGGGGUAACGGCCCACCAAGGCUACGAUCAGUAGGGGUUCUGAGAGGAAGGUCCCCCACAUUGGAACUGAGACACGGUCCAAACUCCUACGGGAGGCAGCAGUGAGGAAUAUUGGUCAAUGGACGGAAGUCUGAACCAGCCAAGUAGCGUGCAGGAUGACGGCCCUAUGGGUUGUAAACUGCUUUUGUAUGGGGAUAAAGUUAGGGACGUGUCCCUAUUUGCAGGUACCAUACGAAUAAGGACCGGCUAAUUCCGUG